rnacentral:rRNA from 1 species
UACGGGGGGAGCAAGCGUUGUUCGGAUUUACUGGGCGUAAAGGGCGCGUAGGCGGUCGUGACAAGUCACUUGUGAAAUCUCCGGGCUUAACGUCGGAACGGGAUCAAGUGAUACUGUCGGACUAGAGUACAGAAGGGGCAACUGGAAUUCUCGGUGUAGCGGUGAAAUGCGUAGAUAUCGAGAGGAACACCUGCGGCGAAGGCGGGUUGCUGGGCUGAUACUGACGCUGAGGCGCGAAAGCUAGGGGGAGCGAACGGG